CCUACGGGAGGCAGCAGUAGGGAAUAUUGCUCAAUGGGGGAAACCCUGAAGCAGCAACGCCGCGUGGAGGAUGAAGGUUUUCGGAUUGUAAACUCCUUUUGUUAGAGAAGAUAAUGACGGUAUCUAACGAAUAAGCACCGGCUAACUCCGUGCCAGCAGCCGCGGUAAUACGGAGGGUGCAAGCGUUACUCGGAAUCACUGGGCGGAAAGAGCGCGUAGGCGGGAUAGCAAGUCAGAUGUGAAAUCCUAUGGCUUAACCAUAGAACUGCAUUUGAAACUGUUAUUCUAGAGUAUGGGAGAGGUAGGUGGAAUUCUUGGUGGAGGGGUAAAAUCCGUAGAGAUCAAGAGGAAUACUCAUUGCGAAGGCGACCUGCUAGAACAUAACUGACGCUGAUGCGCGAAAGCGUGGGGAGCAAACAGGAUUAGAUACCCCGGUAGUC
rnacentral:rRNA from 1 species